rnacentral:piRNA from 1 species
GCCAUUUCCCUUUACCUGAAUGACAAAAGA